GACGAACGCUGGCGGCGUGCCUAAUACAUGCAAGUAGAACGCUGAAGGAGGAGCUUGCUCUUCUGGAUGAGUUGCGAACGGGUGAGUAACGCGUAGGUAACCUGCCUGGUAGCGGGGGAUAACUAUUGGAAACGAUAGCUAAUACCGCAUAAGAGUAGAUGUUGCAUGACAUUUACUUAAAAGGUGCAAUUGCAUCACUACCAGAUGGACCUGCGUUGUAUUAGCUAGUUGGUGGGGUAACGGCUUACCAAGGCGACGAUACAUAGCCGACCUGAGAGGGGGAGCGGCCACACUGGGACUGAGACACGGCCCAGACUCCUACGGGAGGCAGCAGUAGGGAAUCUUCGGCAAUGGACGGAAGUCUGACCGAGCAACGCCGCGUGAGUGAAGAAGGUUUUCGGAUCGUAAAGCUCUGUUGUAAGAGAAGAACGAGUGUGAGAGUGGAAAGUUCACACUGUGACGGUAUCUGACCAGAAAGGGACGGCUAACUACGUG
rnacentral:rRNA from 1 species